CAUUAAUUGCUUCAUUCAAUCAACAUCUCCCUUAAAAGUUACUCCUUUCCAAUAUUAUUUCAAAUUCCAAUAAUUCUAAUCAACAAUUUUCAUUAAAAACUAUUAAAUUUCAAUGGAAUAACCGAAAAAUUUAUCUGAAUUUUCAUCAGAUAUUCAAUACAAUAGAAGAACUAAAGAAUUUGUUAUCAAUGGAACCAAAUUUUUUGCAAAUUAACAUCUACUUUCAUAUCAAAGGGCUAUUUUUUUAUCCUCUACCGAGUAUCAGAACCGAGUAUUUGUUUAGUAUUAGAAAGGAGUGAGAUUUAUGGAUUUGUUGAAGAUGAAGAACAAAAAUCGCAUAGGCAAAGAUAGGGGAUGAGCCCCUUCAAGUAAAAGGGAUACAAGACAGAAGCAGCAAGCUAAUUAAACGUUCAAGGUAAAAUAGGAAAAUAAAAAGCAGGAAAUAAACUACACUACUUCUACAGCAAGCUAAUUAUCAGUGUUACGUUUGGGUUUGAUAAUUUCAAAAAGUGUCAUGUCAAUUUUGGUUUGUUAAUAAAAAAGUGCGAUAUAUGGGUUUGAUAAUUUCAUUACGGAGUAUUUCGUAAACACUGAUAAUUUCAUUACUGAGUAUUUCGUAAACACUGAUAAUACUACGGAGUAUCUGAUUCAAAUUUGGGUUUAAUAUUUAAAAAGUGCGAUAAUCAAAUUUGGGUUUAAUAUUUAAAAAGUGCGAUAAUCAAAUUUGGGUUUAAUGUUAGGGGCCCAUUUUUUAGAUUCAGACAAAAUAGAACAGGGCCUCCAAAAUGUUUAAAACGGCCCUGGGUCUAACCCCAAGCUAUAGUUUAUUAUAGCAAAGAAUUUUGAAGCAAAUGAGAUAUUUGCGGUGAAUUUAGUAAGUGUUCAUGAUGAAAACGAAGAAGGUAUCACCAUUUUUAUACCACUUAAGUGUCUUACGCUACCUCUGUUUCUAAAAAAUCUACAGAGUCGUCUUAUGCUAGCCAACACAAAUUGAUACUCUGUAGUUAUUAUCUUAAUUUAAUUAUUAAGUAAAAGUUAAAAAACAAUGAUAUAUGAAAAAUAUAUAUUGAGACAAUCAACAGUGUAAAAAGACCAGAUACUUUGUAAAUAAAGUAAGUAGCAAAUGGCAAUUUGACGAGUUGAUUUAAUUUGAAGGCAUAAUUUCGCAUUGAUAAGGUCAAUUGAACAAAGCUAAGCAUAUAUGGCUUUUUAAGGUGGAACGAGCAUAUAUACUGUACUAUAAUAACUACAUCCAUGCAUCUCUUAAAAGAAAGCUACCACAUGACAUUUUGGCUAUUGUUGCAAGAAUAUAAUUUUCACCAGUAUUCAUUGGCAUUAUUACUAUUAUACCUAUAGUCACCUAAUUAAAUAAAAAAAAACGCAGAAUAACAAAAGCUUAGAUCCUUUUCCAAUGUCAAACGUGAUAAUGACCUUAGCUUUGUCGUAUCAUUGUGAAUGGCAAUUAGAUUAAUUGGUCGGUUUAUGUUAGAGGUAAAACCUCAAUUUUGUGUUUCAGUAUGGUUAAAAAAAAGAAAAAAAAGAAAUGAGUGGUAAAUCUAGGAUAUGCUGAUCAUCUUGUUUCAGAUUGUUUUAAUCAUCAUCAUACAAAUAGAAAAGUUUUUAUCAUGUAUUUUUUUUUGCUUGCAUAUUGUCAUACUAGUCUUAUAUACACGUGAUGCGUGUAAAUAUAAGAAACAUCUUUGUGUUAUUACAUUUAAAUCUGAAAUAACAUGUAAAUAAUAUAAUAUAAAUGCGAUUCGUGCGAAUAUAAGAAAUAGAUAAGUUAGAUAGAGCCGAACGCAUAUAAACAGAUUGAUUAAAAUGGUAAAAAUUUAUUCACUACAAGAAAUUGUACUAUUAACGACGGGAAAUCCCGUCGGGAUGGGCCAAUAAUCGUUGAUUAACGACCGCAUUUCUUGUCGCGAACCCGUCAUAAAAUGGGGCCGUCUUUAAUAGAAAAUCCCGUUGUAAAAGACAUUUGCAACGGUUAUUCCCGUCUUUGUUUGGUUGUUAGCCCGUCACAAAAGGCUUUUAUGACGGGAUUUUUGACCCGUCGUAAUUAGGUUGUCGUCAAAGAUACAAAUUCUUGUAGUGAUUUAAGGGGAUAGAUUGAAUAAAUUGUUUAUUUGGACUUUUCCUAUUGUGUAGUUGUCAUUAUAUUCUCUAUUCUAUGAGUGUGGAGGAUAUUUUAGUAAUCCAAGGGGACACCAUGCAAAAGUGGAUUUCUUAAAAUAACCACAACUCUUCACUUAUACUCCCUCUGUCUCUUUUUGUUAUUUACGUUUGUCAUUUUACACGCGUUUUAACGAUUAAUUAAUGUGCUUUUAGAUUCCUCUAUUUUUUUAUUUAAAUAAGGCAAAUUACGUUUAUUUAUAAUGUUUUCACUUUUAUCAAAAUUCUGAUAUUGGGAAAAUAAGAAAAAUUUAAUGUUCUAAUAGAAAAGUGUAAGAGAUAUAUUAAAUGACCUAAUGAAUUUAAUUGGUUAAAAUAAUUAUUGGACACAAAUUUUGAUAGAAUAUUAAAGCAUUUAUGUGAUAAUAUAAAAGGAAAUGCAAAAAACAUUUUCGGACGCCCAAAAAGGAAAACGUUUAGAACAAAAAGAGACGAAGGGAGUAUAAUAUAAUAGAGAUACAUAUAUAUAAAGACAAAUCUAAAUAGAAAAGUCAUUUUUUGAUAUUACGACACGACACAGUCCGAUAUGACAAAUCACGUUAAAUUGGGUGAAAUUAGGCUUAGCCAUGCACGCAAGACCUUAAGCCCGACACAAGGGCACAUGGGCUUGGCUGUGAUCCGGCCAUAUUUUCUGGGCCGCACUAGUGGAUUGGGCGUAGACCACAUUAUUCAGGUCCAAAGCAUGCAGGCUCAACACGAAGCACAUACUGACCCAACAUCUUUUUACACCGAUUCAAAUAUUUGUUUAUUUUAUUCACUCAUAGCACUUUCUAUUAUCUAGCCAUAUCCAUUUAUGGCCUAUGAAAAAUAUUCUCAAAUUGGCAAAUUGCUUGGAUUUUGCUAACACAUACAAUAGGGAUAUGAUCCGAAUCAGGUGCGUACCUAGCUAGCUAGUGCUACUUGACUACUUUCUCUCUAUAAAAGGGUAGAUUUAAUCGAUACAAGUAGACAAGCUCAAACAAACAAAUAAACACCAAAUCAAGUUAAACCCAAAUAGCAAAAAAAUGCAAUGCUAUCCUUCCCCUCCUACUCAAGGAUGUGCUGCUCAGUACCCUAAUUGCCCUCCUCCAUUUAUGCCGCCGAGCCACGGGUAUGGAGGUGGUUUCUAUUCCGGUGGUGACGUGAAUCACUCCGGGAUGCAAACGAACGGAGACCUCAAAGUCGGAAACAACAAGGUGAAAUCCGGGGGUGUUGAUAUUGAUACCAUUGGUGGUAACCAUGCCAAUCAAGACGGACAACAAAACAGCCAGGAUGUUACCAUAGGCAACAUUGGCUGUUGAUUUUUAAUUAUACUAUUAUUAUUAUCAAAGCCACGGCCUAAUACUAGAUUAAGUACGUUAAAUUACGUACUUCUUUUAAAUAAAACGUAUGUACCGUGUUGGGUUUUGUAGGCGUAAACAAUCUGCUUAAAUAUUACUAUGUAAUAGUUCUUGUGUAAUCGUGUUAAUUAUAUGUACGUGGAUAUGUUACAAUUAGUUCGACUAAUUGUACCCAUUACCUUUUACGUAUUUUACAUGAGUAAUAUAUGUGAACAUUGUUCUAGUUA